UACGUAGGGGACGAGCGUUAAUCGGACUUACUGGGCGUAACGCGUGCGCAGGCGGUUUUUCAAGACAGAUGUGAAAUCCCCGGGCUCAACCUGGGAACUGCAUUUGUGACUGCAAGGCUAGAAUCUGGCAGAGGGGGGUAGAAUUCCACGUGUAGCAGUGAAAUGCGUAGAUAUGUGGAGGAAUACCGAUGGCGAAGGCAGCCCCCUGGGCUAAGAUUGACGCUCAUGCACGAAAGCGUGGGGAGCAAACAGG
rnacentral:rRNA from 1 species